GGUGAUGCCAGCACUUUCUUAGCUACCCCUGCUGGUGUCUCAGUAGUCACAUGCCCCCCAGUCCACCAUCUCUGGGCCCAGUUCAGCACUACCACUCACCUAAGAGUUCAGUCCUUAUGGCCUAGACAGCCUUUCAAAUUUACUUAGAGACCCAGAGCUCUUUAACGCAUGGUGGCAGUUGACCUCUGGGGAUUAGUGAUUCCCCUCUGGCUAGGGCUGGUCCAAAUGCUUCCUCUGUGGGUGGAUAUAAGCUGAGUUUGGUCUGGUUUUUCUUUCUGGUCUAACAGACAGCCCUGAGUUCAUCAGUGCCUCACACUUGCUGUGCUCUCCCUCUCCCCAGCACCCAGAAAUACUCUCCACACCAUGCUGCACUGCUGCGGAUGAGGGAAGGGUGGUGUCGGGGCUUCAAGACUGUUUUUCCUACCUCUUCAGUGCCUCUUUCAGUGAUAUGAAGUUAAAACCAGGAACAUGGAGGAGACAUCUUUCCGCCUAUUUCUCUCCAUAAGUAUAAAAGACCAUAAAAGACCAUCUAGGGACUUCAGAACCCAAAUAAUGACACAAUGGGCUAACUGCUGACUGGAGAGGGGAGAAAAUGGAACACGGAGAGACAGAAGAAAGUGUUCUAACAGAAGUCUGUCUGUGGUUGCUUCGGACCAAGGCAGAGUGCUGUAAAGGUGGCUGUGCUGUACCCAGUACUGUGUCUUCUGAUGGGAGGUUCUGAAGCAACACUGUAACUGCUGAAUGCUUCUGGCUGGUUCUUUCCACAGUAAAAGGCUCUGCAGACAUCUCCCGUGGCCCCUGGUCAUCACACAGGAGAGUGACUACCAUUACCUCAGCACCUUCACUGUCUCCAUCCACUGUGCCUGCUCACUCUCCCAGGGGUCCACCCGGAUCCAGUCGGAUGUCUGCAGGGCCAGUCGGGCCAUGGCCACUCGGUGAUGAGAAGCUGCGAGGUCUUUCUUCCCAUAGUUGUCGUUGACGGGAGAGAUGAUACCCUGGAUGACCUGGUACAUUCCUAGAUGAAAAGAAAUAUCUUUUACUGAGAUAGACUGAGGUCCAGGAAAAACGAGUGCAACUUCAUGGUCCUUUUCUUCAUAUUCUGGAAUACAAGAAUACGUGUAAAUGUUUACAAAUUCAGAUGCUAAGAGUUUUGCAUGUAUAGCAGUACUUUCACCAUCUGUUUCUUUUGGAUGUUUAAUGAUGUCAAUCUUCAAUGGAAGCUUCACAAGUGGAAUCUGUUCAAUAGGAACAUUUUCAACUGGAACGUAACAUGUACAGCAGUAGAACAUUCUGGAACAAAUGUACCACAUUUGAGACAUUUUGAUCUCCCACUUUGCCGAGCUUUUUGAAGAACUUCUUGAGAUGCUAAACAUAAGUUUUGAAGGGGAUCUUCUAAAGCUAUGGAAGUAGUUUGUGACUAUUUCGUUUCCACAAAUUUUGAUUUAUUUUCUUCACUUCGUUUGAGAAAUAGAGGUGGAUUGAGAGACAGUCUUCAUUCAAACAAAAGUUUAACAGCUGCUUCUAAAACACAUAUCAUAGGUGCACUGCGAGCCCUCGAACAGUUCCACACGUCUCCAGCUCCGCCCGAGCCACGCGCCGGGCCGUGAUCGCGCACGGACCAGACGAACCACAGAGGCUACUUCUGCUCCCAUGUAUCCUUGCGUCGAGUACAACACCCAGCACAGAUGGACACACAGUAAGAGAUAAGGUGAAUGAAUGGAGGCUGCAUGGCAUGGUGGUUAUGAGCAUGGACUCGGAGGCAAACUGGCUCUACUCCUUCCUGGCUGUGUGAUCUCAGG